UACAUGAAAUUUUUUCCAUUGCCUUUUAAUCCACCACUUUGCAGUCAUUUAAACUACCCCUUGGACUGCCCAAUGCAGUAUAAUUCAGUGGGUUGGCGCGUAAACAGGGGAACAGCACAGAAAUCAUGUGGUGGUGGUGGUGCUUUACAAUAAAGAACCAGCCGAGCAGAAGCUUCACAACCCAUGUUCUGUUAGAGAGGUGGCUUAAACCGAAUCCAACCCAUGUGGUUCAUGCCUUUAAUGCACAUGUUCCAUGGUCAUCAUAAUCCUCCCUUCAUCUCUAGUUUACAUCUUUUGCGUGCCUGAUGACACUUGUUGCUUUGUUAUUCAUUCUUCCGUUUUUAUUCAUAUAAAAUAGGACCAAUUCUUGGCUUGCAGAGUUCAUCCUCCUGCCUACCACAUUCUAUGUAAUCCAUUUGGGCUUAACUUAAGCCUCCUUUUAAUUAUAAUCACAUCUUCCUCAUUAACCCACCGCUUUAAUUCCUUGUCUUUUCCCUCACUUUCUUUCCCACCAAACACGCCAUUAAAGUUGUCCACAAGAAAAUGUUGAGUCAGUUCAUACAUAGCGAAGCUACAGCGAAGCAUUCAAGGUAAGUGAAGAAUGCCGCACUUUUUGAAAGACACAGGAUAAACAGUGUUCUUUGCGUGCGGGAGGUAUGUUUGAGUGCUUAUAUACGUGUAAAAAGCAAAGUAAAAAUUACCCAAAAAAGUUUUUAUGCUCACUUCAUGUGUGUACUUUAAUUUUAUCUUGUAUUAAAACUGAAAGUUAGGUUUGAUUAUUUGUUGUAAUAUUUUUUAUACUUUUGACAACUCAUUGUAUCUGAGAAGGCCCUCUAUUAUUUUGCCAUGUUUUACUUCAGGG